rnacentral:hammerhead_ribozyme from 1 species
AUCCAGCUGACGAAUCCCAAAUAGGACGAAAGGCGCGUCAAGCUGGAU